rnacentral:lncRNA from 1 species
CCGGCUGCCCCUUCACUCCGCGCUGGCUUCCAGCAGACUCAGCCCGGCGGCGCGCGAGCUCAGUCUGUCUCCCCUGACUUUGCCUGUCUCGCUCUUGCCCUUUCCUUAUCUGCGCUCCCUUCUCUCUCCUUCGGUUUUCCAUUCCACCUUUCCUCUCCUGCUCCCCUUUCUGUGCACCCCGCUCCUGGACUACCCCUUCCUCUAACUCACCAGUUUCCCUUCCCCUUUCCCCACCUCCUGCCCGGAAAGGCUGGACUUCUCUGUUCUAGGACCAAGGUGGGGGUUUUCUUUGCCGCAUCGGGGUUCCCAGACUGGUCCAGAACCUCCGCGCUCCUGCCCCCAAUUUCAAAUCAGCCUUUCCACCUCAGUCACAGGGGCAGAGUUUCAGCCCUACAGCUUCGAUGUGGACUCAGAGCGCUCAGCCUUUGCCACGGGACACUGCUGCCUCGCCUUCUUGUGUGCCUGUCCCUCCACCUGAAGAGAUCUCCCCCUGCUCAGGUCAAAGCCUCUUCUACAAAGAUGGCCUGCUGUUGAGCGACCUCUGUGCCAUGAUCAGGAAAGCACCUUGGAAGUAGAAUCAACCUUCGAGAAAAGUGGAAUCUUCAGUGGGAGGUGUAAUACAGCAACAGAAAACCAAACUCACUAAACUCAGGACCCAUCCUGGUCAGGCCGAGUGGCCUUUGUGAAGGCACUUAAUUGUUUUGUACCCUG